GACCGCUCCGGUGGCCUAAGUGUUUAGAGCGUACUCCUCGGAUGCGUGAGGUCGCGGGUUCGAAUCCCGACUGAGUCA